rnacentral:rRNA from 1 species
AACGAACGCUGGCGGUAUGCUUAACACAUGCAAGUCGAACGAACAAAAUUGGGGCUUGCUCCAAUUUUAGUGAGUGGCAAACGGGUGAGUAACACGUGGGAAUCUACCUAUCAGUACGGAAUAACAUUUGGAAACAGAUGCUAAUACCGUAUAUUCUCCAAGGAGGAAAGAGUUAUCGCUGAUAGAUGAGCCCGCGUAAGAUUAGGUAGUUGGUAGGGUAAUGGCCUACCAAGCCGACGAUCUUUAGCUGGUCUGAGAGGAUGAUCAGCCACACUGGACUGAGCCACGGCCCAGACACCUACGGGAGGCAGCAGUGGGGAAUAUUGGACAAUGGGCGAAAGCCUGAUCCAGCUAUACCGCGUGAAUGAUGAAGGCCUUAGGGUUGUAAAGUUCUUGUAGUUGGAAAGAUAAUGACGGUACCAACAGAAAAAGCCCCGGCUAACUCCGUGCCAGCCGCCGCCGUAA